UUACUCUGGUUUCUUUUCAGAUAAUAUACAUCUUUAUCCUUUUAUUAAGCAUUUCUGUGUAGAGGAACAGUCAUGAGUCUUGAACCAAUUUUUUGUGGGUGCACACCCACGCA
rnacentral:snRNA from 1 species